GAUGAACGCUGGCGGCGUGCUUAACACAUGCAAGUCGAACGGGAAAUAUUUCAUUGAGACUUCGGUGGAUUUGAUUUAUUUCUAGUGGCGGACGGGUGAGUAACGCGUGGGUAACCUGCCUUAUACAGGGGGAUAACAGUCAGAAAUGGCUGCUAAUACCGCAUAAGCGCACAGAGCUGCAUGGCUCAGUGUGAAAAACUCCGGUGGUAUAAGAUGGACCCGCGUUGGAUUAGCUAGUUGGUGGGGUAACGGCCCACCAAGGCGACGAUCCAUAGCCGGGCUGAGAGGGUGAACGGCCACAUUGGGACUGAGACACGGCCCAGACUCCUACGGGAGGCAGCAGUGGGGAAUAUUGCACAAUGGGGGAAACCCUGAUGCAGCGACGCCGCGUGAAGGAAGAAGUAUCUCGGUAUGUAAACUUCUAUCAGCAGGGAAGAUAGUGACGGUACCUGACGAAGAAGCCCCGGCUAACUACGUG
rnacentral:rRNA from 1 species